rnacentral:rRNA from 1 species
ACAUGCCUACAACUUAGCGUUAGUGCACCAGAUCCCAUUAGAAAUCCACAGUUAAGCGUGCUCAGGCUAGAGUAGUACUGGGAUGGGUGACCGCCCAGGAAGUCCUAGUAUUUUACAUGCC